rnacentral:tRNA from 1 species
CAUUAGAUGACUGAAAGUAAGUAUUGGUCUCUUAAACCACUCUAUAGUAAAAUAACAUCUACUUCUAAUGA